CCUAUAUAAAUCCCUCUCCAUUUCCAUUUUAAUCCACACCAAUUCACUAUUCUCUUUCUCUCAAAUCUCAAUCUCUCAAUUAUAGUUACUUUGCAACAAUUAGCCACUUUAAAUUUCUCUUAAAUAAAUAUUAUAAAGUCUUAUUAUAGUUUCAAUUAUUAAUUUUGUAAUUAUAAUAUUGUUGGUGGAGUUGGUGAUUUUGCAACAAUCUGAAGUAGCUUUGGUGGAUUUGCAAUUCUAGCCGCCUUCACUUUGUUGAAAAUUAAUCCGGCAAUUUGGUACCUUCGUUCCAACUCUAUCUUUAUUUUUCGCAAUUUAAUUUACGCAAUUUAAUUCUAGCAAUUUAAUUUGUUGCAAUUUAUUUUCUUGUGAUUUAUUUGAGUGUGAUUUAAAUUAAUUCUAUUUAAUAAUGGCGAAGAGAUUUAGAUGUGGUGCCGGUAGUAGUGGUAUUUCUUAGCAUGGUGGAAGAAAUACAAGGCAAGUCAUCCGAUACUCUCAAGAAUGGCUCGAGAUAUCCUUACGAUUCAAGUACCAACCGUGGCUUUGGAGAGUGCAUUUAGCCGAGGAAGACAACAAAUUGGAGACCAUAGACACUCAUUAUCCGGCUUUAGCUUGCAAGUACUAGUGUGCAUUCGCGAUUGGAUUAGAUCUAAGCGACGCAACCAAAACUUAGAAGCGGAGGAAGGCGAAGAGAAAGAGAUUGAAGAUUUGAUAGCAAGUGGACCGAACCAAAUGGAAGACUUUGAAGAUAUCUCCAUGGCCGAAUAUGAUAUGGGGGAAAUUAACCAAAUGAUUGAGAAUUGGUGAUUUUAUUAUUCUACUAUUUCUUUGCAACUCAUUUAUUAUUUGCAAGUUAAAAAAAACUACAACUUGCAAAUAAAUGUUAUCCAAGAAUGAAUAAAAUAUAUGGCUCAUUGAGCUUUCUUCUA